rnacentral:rRNA from 1 species
GACGAACGCUGGCGGCGUGCUUAACACAUGCAAGUCGAACGAUGAAGCCCAGCUUGCUGGGUGGAUUAGUGGCGAACGGGUGAGUAACACGUGAGUAACCUGCCCUGGACUCUGGGAUAACCCCGAGAAAUCGGAGCUAAUACCGGAUAGGACCUUUCCUCGCAUGAGGUUUGGUGGAAAGUUUUUCGGUUUGGGAUGGACUCGCGGCCUAUCAGCUUGUUGGUGAGGUAAUGGCUCACCAAGGCGUCGACGGGUAGCCGGCCUGAGAGGGUGACCGGCCAGACUGGGACUGGGACACGGCCCAGACUCCUACGGGAGGCAUCAGUGGGGAAUAUUGCCCAAUGGGCGCAAGCCUGAUGCAGCAACGCCGCGUGCGGGAGGACGGCCUUCGGGUUGUAAACCGCUUUUAGUAGGGAAGAAGCCUUCGGGUGACGGUACCUGCAGAAAAAGGACCGGCUAACUACGUGCCAGCCGCCGCCGUAAAAC